rnacentral:rRNA from 1 species
AUUGAACGCUGGCGGCAGGCCUAACACAUGCAAGUCGGGCGGAGCGGCGGACGGGUGAGUAAUGUAUGGGGAUCUGCCUGAUGGAGGGGGAUAACUACUGGAAACGGUAGCUAAUACCGCAUACCCUAAGCUGAACCCAUAUGGGAUUAGCUGGGUGGUGGGGUAAAGGCCUACAAAGGCGACGAUCCGGAACUGGUCUGAGAGGAAGCUCAGUCACACUGGAACUGAGACACGGUCCAGACUCCUACGGGAGGCAGCAGUGGGGAAUAUUGGACAAUGGGCGAAAGCCUGAUCCAGCCAUGCCGCGUGUGUGAAGAAGGUCUUCGGGUUGUAAAGCACUUUAAGUUGGGAGGCGUUACCAACAGAAUAAGCACCGGCUAACUUCGUGCCAGCAGCCGCGGUAAUAC